GACGAACGCUGGCGGCGUGCUUAACACAUGCAAGUCGAACGGAAAGGCCCUGCUUUUGUGGGGUGCUCGAGUGGCGAACGGGUGAGUAACACGUGAGUAACCUGCCCUUGACUUUGGGAUAACUUCAGGAAACUGGGGCUAAUACCGGAUAGGAGCUCCUGCUGCAUGGUGGGGGUUGGAAAGUUUCGGCGGUUGGGGAUGGACUCGCGGCUUAUCAGCUUGUUGGUGGGGUAGUGGCUUACCAAGGCUUUGACGGGUAGCCGGCCUGAGAGGGUGACCGGCCACAUUGGGACUGAGAUACGGCCCAGACGCCUACGGGAGGCAGCAGUGGGGAAUAUUGCACAAUGGGCGGAAGCCUGAUGCAGCAACGCCGCGGGCGGGAGGACGGCCUUCGGGUUGUAAACCGCUUUCGCCUGUGACGAAGCGUGAGUGACGGUAAUGGGUAAAGAAGCACCGGCUAACUACGUGC
rnacentral:rRNA from 1 species